CACGACUACGAGUUUGAUCCUGGCUCAGGAUGAACGCUAGCGGCAGGCCUAAUACAUGCAAGUCGAACGGAUAUAUGUUUUCGGAAUAUAUAUUAGUGGCGCACGGGUGAGUAACACGUACAUAACUUGCCCUCAAGCGGGGGAUAGCCUUGGGAAACUGAGAGUAAUACCCCAUAGAAUUAUUGGACGGCAUCGUUUGAUAAUUAAAACUACGGUGCUUGGGGAUAGAUGUGCGUCUGAUUAGCUAGUUGGUGAGGUAACUGCUCACCAAGGCGACGAUCAGUAGGGGGCGGUGAGAGCGUGGCCCCCCACCACGGGUACUGAGACACGGACCCGACUCCUACGGGAGGCAGCAGUAAGGAAUAUUGGUCAAUGGAGGGAACUCUGAACCAGCCAUGCCGCGUGAAGGAUGACGGCCCUCUGGGUUGUAAACUUCUUUUGGAUGGGCGAAAAACGGGAAUUUAUCCUGGACUGACGGUACCAUCAGAAUAAGCACCGGCUAACUCCGUG
rnacentral:rRNA from 1 species